rnacentral:lncRNA from 1 species
CUUUUUCUCUUCCAGUUCUUCGACACCCCGGAAAAGGUCCUUCUGCUCCGAAGAAGCUAUUCUCGUUUGAUUGAGAACUCUGACCCCAAAUGCAUAUAUAGCAGGAAAACUACUGUCUCACCGACGCACAUUGCACUAAUCGAACAGUUUGAUUAUGGCGACCGAAGUAGCAAACUUCAUUGUACUGCGUACCGUGUUUACAUGGAGAUGUCGAAGGGGAAAGGAAUGGACGUCGCACCACUGCUGAAGGCAGCAAAAGUUGAUGCGCCGUGGUGUCCUUUUACUGAGCAAGAAGUAAGUUCUGGAACCAAAACUCAUCAGCAAGGGUACAAGAAUGGGCGAACUUACACUUUCCAAUACUAUGACUCCACAGACAAAUGCGCUGUGAUAACGUUCUCAGACAAAGAAUGUGAAAUAAAAUGUGAACUGCACGUCUGGGAAUAUUACCGUAAUUCGACAAUGACCAAUUGCAUCAGAGAAUAUGAAUACUUGUGCGGACAUCGCACUAAGUACACCCCUUAUGAGAGUGAUAUUUGUAAUUGG